UUCAUUAGUGGAAGCUUGAGAAAAUUUAAAGGGGCUGUUCAACUUCCUUCCUUAAAACAUGUCUCUAUUUUUCUUUCUAGGGAACCACAGGAUAUCAGUGCUUCAGAAUGGAAAGGUGACUACUGCAGACUAGAUGCCAAGUUCAUUUGAUCAUUUAGGCAACCUAGACUCCGAGACAACACGACUUGUAUGUCACAAGGUCAAUGUUCCCCCAGAAAAACACAUUCUGGUAUUGUGAGUGCCAUCAUCCAGAUGCAUUUGUGACCUCUUCCACAUCAUUUCUGGGUUGAUCUCUGUUACCAACAGACAAAAGUCUAAGUGACAGUUACAUCAUUUCUGAGAUCAGGUUAUAUAAGAGAACUUCAUGCGCUCUCUCUCACUGCCUACUCUGGAGGAAGCCAGCUUUGAUGGUGAGAGAACAGCCCUAUGGAGAGACCUGUGUAACAAGGAACUGAGGCCUGCCAACAGCCUCAUGAGUGAACCUAGAAGUGGAUCUUCCAGUCCUGGUCAAGUCUUAGAGACUACAAGCCCAAGAAUCUCAUAAUACCCUGAAGCAGAACCACCAGCUAUAGUGGAAAAGGAAAAAGAGUGGGAGAAGAUUCCAGAGGACCGCAGAGAAUCUGGGACUGAACUGAGGAAAGCUUCUGGAGCUAACCCCACCCUGUCAGGCAAAUGAGUACCACUAACAAGCCAUGUGAUGUAAGUGAAUCUUAUAUUGUCACUGCUACUAUUCCAGCCAACAUAUCCAAAGAAUCUCGGGUUGCCAUAAUUAACACGGA